rnacentral:lncRNA from 1 species
GUGCAGUGAGUCCUGGCCCUUUCCUCUGCCCACACUGACCCUUCUUCUCCACUGACUUCACUCAGCCUGGCCCACGGGGAGAAUGGACCCAGUGUGUCCCGUACAGGGCUGUGCCAAGCAGCCCCCAACAAAGGCGGCUUUGGUGCAAUGGGUGUUUGAAUGCCAGCCUGUGGCAGGGGUAGGGGGUUGGUUGCUCUGCUGUCUUCCCAGGCCUCAGCACCAGCUUCUUGCUUCAUCCAGACGGCCUUCCAGGCCCUGCUGUCUGGGCUUAGCUUCUCCCACUGGCUCUGGGCGCCAUUUUCCAGGCUUGCCUGGAUGGGGAUUGAGAUCUAUGGCUCUUCUGAGAGCAGCCACCUCAGAGCCUGAGAGAUGCUGGCCCUUGAUGACAGCCCUCAAGCCUGGCCUCCACUUUAUUGACUCUGGCGGGGAAACUUGGGGGAAGCUCCCUGCGCCCUGAAGAGCCUGGUAAGGAAGAUGAAGCAGAGUGGUGGCUAAGCAGUUCCUGGGGUUCUGUUCUAUUCUAGUGCAACUCCUCAAGUCCACGGACCUGGGCCGCCACAGCCUCCUGUACUUGAAGGAGAUUGGCCACGGUUGGUUUGGGAAGGUGUUCUUGGGGGAGGUGCACUCGGGUGUCAGUGGCACGCAGGUGGUGGUGAAGGAGCUGAAGGCCAGCGCCAGUGUGCAGGAGCAGAUGCAGUUCCUGGAGGAGGCGCAGCCCUACAGGGCCCUGCAGCACAGCAACCUGCUUCAGUGCCUGGCCCAGUGUGCUGAGGUGACCCCCUAUUUGCUGGUUAUGGAGUUCUGUCCCCUGGGGGACCUCAAAGGUUAUCUACGGAGCUGCCGGGUGACAGAGUCCAUGGCGCCUGACCCCCUUACCUUGCAGCGCAUGGCGUGCGAGGUGGCGUGUGGUGUCUUGCAUCUACAUCGUCACAACUAUGUGCACAGGUGAGGGUUAGCGGGACUAGCCAGGCCGUGGACACAAAGCCCCGCUACCCCAGUGCCUUGACCCUGAAUGCCUCUGUACAGGAAA